UACGGGGGGGGGCAAGCGUUGUUCGGAAUUACUGGGCGUAAAGGGCUCGUAGGCGGCCAACUAAGUCGGACGUGAAAUCCCUCGGCUUAACCGGGGAACUGCGUCCGAUACUGGAUGGCUUGAGUUUGGGAGAGGGAUGCGGAAUUCCAGGUGUAGCGGUGAAAUGCGUAGAUAUUGGGAGGAACACCAGUGGCGAAGGCGGCUCACUGGACCGGUACUGACGCUGAUGCGCGAAAGCGUGGGGAGCAAACGGG
rnacentral:rRNA from 1 species